rnacentral:rRNA from 1 species
GAUGAACGCUGGCGGCGUGCCUAAUACAUGCAAGUCGAGCGAACGGACGAGAAGCUUGCUUCUCUGAUGUUAGCGGCGGACGGGUGAGUAACACGUGGGUAACCUACCUAUAAGACUGGGAUAACUUCGGGAAACCGGAGCUAAUACCGGAUAAUAUUUUGAACCGCAUGGUUCAAAAGUGAAAGACGGUCUUGCUGUCACUUAUAGAUGGUUCCGCGCUGCAUUAGCUAGUUGGUAAGGUAACGGCUUACCAAGGCAACGAUGCAUAGCCGACCUGAGAGGGUGAUCGGCCACACUGGAACUGAGACACGGUCCAGACUCCUACGGGAGGCAGCAGUAGGGAAUCUUCCGCAAUGGGCGAAAGCCUGACGGAGCAACGCCGCGUGAGUGAUGAAGGUCUUCGGAUCGUAAAACUCUGUUAUUAGGGAAGAACAUAUGUGUAAGUAACUGUGCACAUCUUGACGGUACCUAAUCAGAAAGCCACGGCUAACUACGUG